UACGGAGGAUGCGAGCGUUAUCCGGAUUUAUUGGGUUUAAAGGGUGCGCAGGCGGGCUUUUAAGUCAGCGGUGAAAUUUCCAGGCUCAACCUGGGCACUGCCGUUGAAACUGGGGGUCUUGAGUACAGAUGAAGUAGGCGGAAUUCGUUGUGUAGCGGUGACAUGCUUAGAUAUAACGAGGAACUCCGAUUGCGUAGGCAGCUUACUAAACUGUUACUGACGCUCAAGCACGAAAGCGUGGGGAUCAAACAGGAUUAGAUACCCUGGUAGUCCACGCCGUAAACGACGAUUACUAGUUGUAUGCGAUAUACCGUAUGUGACUAAGCGAAAGCGAUAAGUAAUCCACCUGGGGAGUACGCUGGCAACAGUGAAACUCAAAGGAAUUGACGGGGGCCCGCACAAGCGGAGGAACAUGUGGUAUAAUUCGAUGAUACGCGAGGAACCUUACCCGGGCUUGAAAUGCAUACGACCGACCUUGAAAGGGGUUUUCUAGCAAUAGCGUAUGUGUAGGUGCUGCAUGGUUGUCGUCAGCUCGUGCCGUGAGGUGUCGGCUUAAGUGCCAUAACGAGCGCAACCCACAUCAUUAGUUACUAACAGGUUAAGCUGAGGACUCUAAUGAGACUGCCGUCGUAAGAUGCGAGGAAGGUGUGGAUGACGUCAAAUCAGCACGGCCCUUACGUCCGGGGCGACACACGUGUUACAAUGGGAGGUACAAAGGGCAGCUACUUGGCGACAAGAUGCCAAUCCCCAAAGCCUCCCCCAGUUCGGAUCGGAGUCUGCAACUCGACUCCGUGAAGCUGGAUUCGCUAGUAAUCGCGCAUCAGCCAUGGCGCGGUGAAUACGUUCCCGGGCCUU
rnacentral:rRNA from 1 species